AUUGAACGCUGGCGGCAUGCCUUACACAUGCAAGUCGAACGGCAGCACGGGGCAACCUGGUGGCGAGUGGCGAACGGGUGAGUAAUGCAUCGGAACGUACCUUUCAGUGGGGGACAACGUAGCGAAAGUUACGCUAAUACCGCAUAUUCUGUGAGCAGGAAAGCAGGGGAUCGCAAGACCUUGCGCUGAUUGAGCGGCCGAUGUCAGAUUAGCUAGUUGGUGAGGUAAAGGCUCACCAAGGCGACGAUCUGUAGCGGGUCUGAGAGGAUGAUCCGCCACACGGGAACUGAGACACGGUCCAGACUCCUACGGGAGGCAGCAGUGGGGAAUUUUGGACAAUGGGGGCAACCCUGAUCCAGCCAUGCCGCGUGAGUGAAGAAGGCCUUCGGGUUGUAAAGCUCUUUCGGCCGGGAAGAAAUCGCACGGGCUAAUACCCUGUGUGGAUGACGGUACCGGAAUAAGAAGCACCGGCUAACUACGUGCCAGCAGCCGCGGUAAUAC
rnacentral:rRNA from 1 species